CAGUAUCAUCCUAACGGUAUUAAUGCACCAAAUCCCAUCUGAACUCUCAAGUUAAACGUAUUUGGGCACGAGUAGUAUUAGUAUGAGUGACUUCUUUGAAAGUCCUUGUACCACACCUU
rnacentral:rRNA from 1 species